rnacentral:SRP_RNA from 1 species
GCCAGGCGUGGUGGCACGUGUCUGUAGUCCCAGCAAUAGCGGGAGGCUGAGGCUGGAGGAUCUCUUGAGUCCAGGAGUUCUGGGCUGUAGUGCGCUAUGCUGAUCGGGUGUCCACACUAAGUUCGGCAUCAAUAUGGUGACCUCCCGGGAGCGGGGGACCACCAGGUUGCCUAAGGAGGGGUGAACCGGCCCAGGUCGGAAAAGGAGCAGGUCAGAACUCCCUUGCUGAUCAGUAGUGGGAUCGCGCCUUUGAAUAGCCACUGCACUCCAGCCUAGGCAACAUAGUGAGACCCUGUCUCU